rnacentral:rRNA from 1 species
AUUCCAGCUCCAAUAGCGUAUAUUAAAGUUGUUGCGGUUAAAAAGCUCGUAGUUGGAUUUCUGUUUCUGGGAUCUGGUCCGCCUCACGGUGAGCACUGGAUAACUGGGGACAUCCUCUCGAAGGCGGCGGGUGCACUUGAUUGUGUGUUUGUUGAAUUCGGGACCUUUACUUUGAAAAAAUUAGAGUGUUCAAAGCAGGCGUCGGCUUGAAUACAUUAGCAUGGAAUAAUGGAAUAGGACUUUGGUUCUAUUUUGUUGGUUUCUAGGACCGAAGUAAUGAUUAAUAGGGACAGUUGGGGGCAUUAGUAUUUAAUUGUCAGAGGUGAAAUUCUUGGAUUUAUGAAAGACUAACUACUGCGAAAGCAUUUGCCAAGGAUGUUUUCAUCG